rnacentral:misc_RNA from 1 species
UUCUGAAUUGGUGGAGGACUUGCUG